CAGCCGGCCGCUACGGAAGCGGUGUUCCGUUGCUGCAGAGACGGCCGGCUGUCGCCGAUGCUUGCGGCGCGGGGACCAUGACGGGGAAGAAGUCUUCCCGGGAGAAGCGGCGCAAGCGGAGCGGGCAGGAGGCGGCCGCUGCGCUCGCGGCCCCGGACCUGGUGCCCGUGGUGGGCGGUACCGCGGGCAGCUGCGGGAGCGGCGGCUGCUGCGGGGGCACGGGUGGCGGCGGAGGCAGCGGAGGAGGAGGAGGCGGCGGCGGCGGCGGGGCGAGUGUGGCGGGCGGCGCGGAACGGAGCGAGCGCCGAAAGCGGAGGAGCACCGACUCGUCCUCCAGCGUCUCGGGCUCCGUGCAGCAGGAAACCAAGUGUCUUUUGCCUACUCUGGAGAAAGAAUUAUUGACAGAGCACAGUGAUGUUGAAGAAGGUGGACUGGAUCUGACUGUUUCAUUAAAACCAGUUAGUUUCUAUAUAUCAGACAAAAAAGAAAUGCUCCAGCAGUGCUUCUGUAUAAUAGGAGAGAAGAAGUUACAGAAGAUGCUUCCUGAUGUGCUGAAGAACUGUUCAGUAGAAGAAAUUAAAAAACUAUGCCAGGAACAAUUAGAGCUCCUGUCUGAAAAAAAAAUCUUGAAGAUUCUUGAGGGUGACAAUGGUUUGGACUCUGAUAUGGAAGAGGAGGCAGAUGAUGGCUGUAAGGUGGCAUCCGACUUAAUCAGUCAGCAAGACACCUGUGUAGAUUCUGCUUCAUCCCUGAGAGAGAACAAACAACCAGAAGGUUUGGAAUCAAAACAAGAUGGCUCUUUCAACCUAAGAAGCAAUUCUUUUUCUUUUAAAAUGUCUGCAAGUAUUUGAAUUAAAACUGAUAUCCAGAUGUCUGUGAAAGCUGCUGGAGAGGUCUCAGCUACUCCAUGUCACCAUGGCAGACCAGAUGUAUGCAGAAGUCUGUAAGGAGAGUGUAGAACCUGGAGCAGAUUGUCUUCUUAGGUGCAAACAGACUGACACCCUAUGGACACAUGCCACUGAAGUGAACCAGGACUGCUCUGUGCCUCCAGAGCCCUGCCUGUGCCUACCCCUCUUCCUUUUCCACCGAGGAAGUCACGUUAGCAGAACCAGAGACCGUAGCGACUGGACAUUGCGAACUCACUCUUGGAAAAAAGACAUUGCUCUGCCUGGACUAGAAUGUGGAGAGUGGGGGCCAGGAUGGCUUCUGAAGUUAAGUAGGCUUUAUAUACCCUGAAUCCAGUACAAUUAGAAACUCUUUGAUAUUAGGUAACUGAGGCAGCUCCUUAGUCUGAGCUUUCUUGACACAGCUGGAUGUUGAUUUGAAUGUCUUGUGAAAAUAUCUGGUGUUACACGGUAUCUGACAUACAGUGUGCACUUAGAUGGAAGGUUACUCAAUGAAGGAUGGGUGAAUGUACUCCCUAGCUGUUUGAACAUCUUAUGUUUUAAAUAGUUGUAUGGCUAUUUGUAAUAGAAAAUACAAUAAAUAUCAAAGAAAUGACUUAAAUAUCCAUUUAACUCUCUUUCUCUCAGGGUUGCAGACACAUAAACAGACUCUGGUUAGAAUUUAUUGGAUGAACAGUCAGAUCCUGAGAUUUAGGAGUUGAAGCAGCGAGCAGUUUGAUGAUACGAGCUGUGGAUCCCUGGGGCCUCGGAAGCAGAUGGUUAUGGAUCUUUCGCCUGGACUGUUGAUGCCUUUAUUCCUCAUCUUUAGUGACCUGUCAUCAGUUGCCAGGAAGACAGGGCUGUGUCCCACAACAUGGACACAGAUAUCACUUCUCUGAUUCAGGAGCACUUCACAGGGCAAAGGGAAUAUUGGGCGACUAAUGUAUUUUAAAGUAUUUUGUAUAUUUUACUUGAAUUAUUUAUGUAGUAUAGAGAAACUAAUUUUAGAUAUGACAGAUGUUAUUAAUUUAGAUAACAGUUUACCAUAAAAGAGAAACAUAAUAUUUAUGUGCUGGGCUGGAGGCGGAGCUCAGUGGUGGUGUGGUUGACUAGCAUACAUGAGGUCCUGGGUUCAAUUCCACGAAAACCUCCUCCCCUUUAAAAAGAAAGCAGAAAAUAGUUACAGGAUGAAAUUUCAAAACUUCACUAAAAGUUUGUAAAGGUUCUGUUGAGGCUUGAUUGACAUAUUCUGAAGUCCACAUAUUUGAAGUCGUGGCUUGGUAUAUUUUGGCACUCACGACGCACGUCCUGACAACUGCCACCAUAAUGAAGACAACAAGGUCUUCCACCCCUGGAUGUCUCCUUGUGCUUUUGUGUUCCUCCCCUCAGCCCCUGCUGUCCCUAAGCACCGAUUACUUAUGCCCCUUAGGCUGACUCGCAUUUUCUAGAGUUCCCUAUAAAUGGGAUCAUGCAAUGCAUAUUCUGUGAUAUGGCUCUUCUUCUCAGCACAACUGCUUUGAGACUCAUCCGUGUUGCACUAUAUAACAGGGUUCUGUUUCUUUAUAUGAGCGACUCAUACCGAGUGGAUCAUACAGCUUGUUUAUUUAUUAGUUGGCAAAGAUUUUACUUAUUUCUAUUUGGGGAUGUCAUCAAUAAAAAUAAGAAUUUAUGUACAGGUGA